GUAGCAAGGUUAACCGAAUAGGGGAGCCGAAGGGAAACCGAGUCUUAACUGGGCGUUAAGUUGCAGGGUAUAGACCCGAAACCCGGUGAUCUAGCCAUGGGCAGGUUGAAGGUUGGGUAACACUAACUGGAGGACCGAACCGACUAAUGUUGAAAAAUUAGCGGAUGACUUGUGGCUGGGGGUGAAAGGCCAAUCAAACCGGGAGAUAGCUGGUUCUCCCCGAAAGCUAUUUAGGUAGCGCCUCGUGAAUUCAUCUCCGGGGGUAGAGCACUGUUUCGGCAAGGGGGUCAUCCCGACUUACCAACCCGAUGCAAACUGCGAAUACCGGAGAAUGUUAUCACGGGAGACACACGGCGGGUGCUAACGUCCGUCGUGAAGAGGGAAACAACCCAGACCGCCAGCUAAGGUCCCAAAGUCAUGGUUAAGUGGGAAACGAUGUGGGAAGGCCCAGACAGCCAGGAUGUUGGCUUAGAAGCAGCCAUCAUUUAAAGAAAGCGUAAUAGCUCACUGGUCGAGUCGGCCUGCGCGGAAGAUGUAACGGGGCUAAACCAUGCACCGAAGCUGCGGCAGCGACGCUGAUGCGUUGUUGGGUAGGGGAGCGUUCUGUAAGCCUGCGAAGGUGUGCUGUGAGGCAUGCUGGAGGUAUCAGAAGUGCGAAUGCUGACAUAAGUAACGAUAAAGCGGGUGAAAAGCCCGCUCGCCGGAAGACCAAGGGUUCCUGUCCAACGUUAAUCGGGGCAGGGUGAGUCGACCCCUAAGGCGAGGCCGAAAGGCGUAGUCGAUGGGAAACAGGUUAAUAUUCCUGUACUUGGUGUUACUGCGAAGGGGGGACGGAGAAGGCUAUGUUGGCCGGGCGACGGUUGUCCCGGUUUAAGCGUGUAGGCUGGUUUUCCAGGCAAAUCCGGAAAAUCAAGGCUGAGGCGUGAUGACGAGGCACUACGGUGCUGAAGCAACAAAUGCCCUGCUUCCAGGAAAAGCCUCUAAGCAUCAGGUAACAUCAAAUCGUACCCCAAACCGACACAGGUGGUCAGGUAGAGAAUACCAAGGCGCUUGAGAGAACUCGGGUGAAGGAACUAGGCAAAAUGGUGCCGUAACUUCGGGAGAAGGCACGCUGAUAUGUAGGUGAAGUCCCUCGCGGAUGGAGCUGAAAUCAGUCGAAGAUACCAGCUGGCUGCAACUGUUUAUUAAAAACACAGCACUGUGCAAACACGAAAGUGGACGUAUACGGUGUGACGCCUGCCCGGUGCCGGAAGGUUAAUUGAUGGGGUUAGCGCAAGCGAAGCUCUUGAUCGAAGCCCCGGUAAACGGCGGCCGUAACUAUAACGGUCCUAAGGUAGCGAAAUUCCUUGUCGG
rnacentral:rRNA from 1 species